rnacentral:lncRNA from 1 species
UUCAGAGCGUUCACAAUAUCACAAUUAUAUAUAUGCAAACAAUCCAACUCAUCAUUUAAGCAUUAUUCAAUAGGCAUGGCAUUUUUAAAGUAUAAAUCAUUUAAUUGCAUUUUCUAGGAAAAACAUCAAGUGUAUACAUAUAUAAUUAAAACCAAAAGCCCACACACAUUGCUCAAUUCCUUAAACAAGGCUAUGGUCUCGAUUAUUUAAUCUCAUUUCUUAUAUGGCUGCAUCUAAUGUCUCGUUAGACUGCCUACAUACCCUAAGCAGGGAUCAAGCCAUUCGUAGUUCACACUAAUCAUUUAUGGUAAUACGCAUAUAGAUAUAUCACGAAGAAAUCUAAACUCAACCAUCUCAUAGUAUUUUAUAACAUAUAAGUAUACAUCUGUCAUAGCAUACAUUUCUCAGUUUUAUUCAAAAGCAUUCAUAGAAUUAUAAAUCACGAAAAAUAUGAUAAGCAAGGAAAGAUCCACUCACCUGGAGUCCGCGCUACAACUUCCUAGUACAAACAUCGAGGCAUCAUGAACGAUUGGCGCCUGUCAUCAAUUAUCGAAUCACAUCUCAGAACUCUUAUCAAUAGAAUACGUAAUUCACAUAAAGCACAUCCUCAAGGACAUUCUAAAAUAGUUUGAGACCCAUUAACCACAAGUCAACCGUCGAUCAAAGAUCAACGGUGGGGUCCAUAACCCUACAUGACUCAAUCCAGGAGAUCUGCAACUCAGAUUUUUGAUCUGUAACUUCCAAAGAUCCACAUUGUUUUUCUAAAAUAACAUACUAAAAUUUCAUUACGAUCCAACGGUCAGAUCUCCGCCAAUUGCCCAAAACCAAGUGGCGGUUAACAUUUAUUUUAUAAACUUACAAGUCCAAUUUGGGAAGAUCCGUAAGUCGGAUUCCUGAU